AUUGAACGCUGGCGGAAUGCUUUACACAUGCAAGUCGAACGGUAGAGGGGGCAACCCCUUGAGAGUGGCGAACGGGUGAGUAAUAUAUCGGAACGUGCCCAGUCGUGGGGGAUAACGUAGCGAAAGUUACGCUAAUACCGCAUACGAUCUACGGAUGAAAGCGGGGGACUCGCAAGAGCCUCGCGCGAUUGGAGCGGCCGAUAUCAGAUUAGGUAGUUGGUGGGGUAAAGGCUCACCAAGCCAACGAUCUGUAGCUGGUCUGAGAGGACGACCAGCCACACUGGAACUGAGACACGGUCCAGACUCCUACGGGAGGCAGCAGUGGGGAAUUUUGGACAAUGGACGCAAGUCUGAUCCAGCCAUUCCGCGUGCAGGAUGAAGGCCCUCGGGUUGUAAACUGCUUUGUACGGAACGAAAAGGUUUCUAUUAAUACUAGGAGCUCAUGACGGUACCGUAAGAAUAAGCACCGGCUAACUACGUG
rnacentral:rRNA from 1 species